rnacentral:rRNA from 1 species
AAAUUAAUAAUAAAGGAAUUAAAAAUUUUAAAUUAAACCAAUAAAUUAUGGCGGCAUUUUAUCUUAUUAGAGGGAUCUGUUUAUUAAUCGACAACCCACGAUAAAUUUUACUUUUUUAAAAAAUCUUAUAUACCUCCGUAUAAAUUAAAUUAUAAAAUUUUUUUACAAAAUUUCUUAAAUUAAAAAAAUAGGUAAAGGUGUAGACUAUAAAAAAGUUUAAAUGGAUCACAUUAAAAACUAUUUAAAAAUAAAAUUUAAUAUUUUUCUAAAAAGAAUUUAAAAGUAAAAUAAUAAUAAUAUUUUUAUUUGAUUUAGAUAAUAAAUGUGC